UAUUCACACUUCUUUGGUUAAGAUCUUCUGAACUCAAUUUUAUAAAUCACAUAGGAUUAUCUUUCUUAUUUAUCAAGGAUAAUAAAUUUCAUCUUGGUGUAUACCUUAUUCCUACAAUAAAUCUACUAAAGCCAACAUACAUUGCAAGGAUCCAUAUAGCUAGGGAUCAAGUGUAGAUAUAAUCAAACUAUAGCUUUCUUGCUAUGAAUAACUGAGACACCUC
rnacentral:lncRNA from 1 species